GUAGGGUGCAAGCGUUAAUCGGAAUUACUGGGCGUAAAGCGUGCGCAGGCGGUUGUGUAAGACAGGCGUGAAAUCCCCGGGCUCAACCUGGGAAUGGCGCUUGUGACUGCACAGCUCGAGUGCGGCAGAGGGGGAUGGAAUUCCGCGUGUAGCAGUGAAAUGCGUAGAUAUGCGGAGGAACACCAAUGGCGAAGGCAAUCCCCUGGGCCUGCACUGACGCUCAUGCACGAAAGCGUGGGGAGCAAAC
rnacentral:rRNA from 1 species